rnacentral:ncRNA from 1 species
AAUUAGAGAACCAAUUGCAUCCAACAACUUAUUUAAUAGUUGAUCAUUAAGACUUUUGAGCUCAUAAAAGUGAAAAUCCAAAGGCGAAAGGCCAUGGGGAGAUACCGUCUGUGAUCCAUGGAUCUCUGAUCGGGAAACCGUAUCCAAGCCCCGUGGCUCAUCCACGCUCCUUGGACUUGAAAGACUUAGUGAACUGAAACAUCUAAGUAGCUAGAGGAAGGGGAAUCAACCGAGACCCCGCUAGUAGCGGUGAGCGAAAGCGGAUUGGGCAAAUACUAAGCAGCGGAGGUUUUCGUUUCGAUCUUGGUCUCAUUUUCCUAGCCUUGCCUUCUCUGCGUGAUUCAUUUCAGUUCAUUAGAUGAUGGAAGAACCAGGCAUUCCGAUGCUUUGCCCUUUGAUUUAGGCUAUAAGGUAGGCAGAAUUGUGAAUGAAAAGGUUGGAAGAUCUGGCCAAAGAAGGUGAUAUCCCUGUAGAGAGUCCCAUGGUUCAAUUCUGUAAGUCAAACGCAUCGUGUUUGAAUUAGGAUCGCUUCUACGUGAGAAAGGGGGACCACCCUCUAAGACCAAGUAUUCCUCAAUGACCCAUAGCGUACAAGUACCGUGAGGGAAAGGUGAAAAGAACCCUAGGAAAGGGAGUGCAAUAGAAAGAAAUCCGAUGCGAACAAUCAGUCGAAGGAGCGAAGCUUCGGGUAAGAUUCUUAGGGUCUAAUAUGACCGGAAAGACCCUCUCCCUUUGAUCGAGCAACUCCGUCCCUCACCCACGAUGGGUGAGCCAACUUCGUUCCUCUAUUUGUUUCAAAUACCUGAGCAGAGCUCAGGGUUAGGUUGACCUGGACGCAGCUCACCCUAACGGCGUACCUUUUGCAUAAUGGGUCAGUGAGUAAAUGGGAACAGCGGCUUAAGCCAUUAGGUGUAGGCUCUUUCCAGCCAGGGAAUAUCCCAGUUGUGACUAUUUGACCCGAAACCGAUCGAUCUAGCCAUGAGAAGGUUGAAGAGAGCUCCAACAGGCCUUGGAGGACCGAACCCACGUAUGUGGAAAAAUACGGGGAUGACUUGUGUCUAGGGGUGAAAGGUCAACCAAGAUCGGAUAUAGCUGGUUUUCCGCGAAAUCUAUUUCAGUAGAGCGUACGUAUAAUACGGCCCGAGGUAGAGAACUCAAUGGGCUAGGGUGGCCCAAAGCUUUACCAACCCUAAGGAAACUCCGAGUACAGGCUUAAUCAAUCGUACAAACAGACUUUGGGUGCUAAGAUCCAGAGUCGAGAGGGAAACAGCCCAGAUCGUACGCUAAGGUCCCUAAGAAAUCGCUUAGUGGAAAAGGAAGUGAUCGAGCGAUGACAACCAGGAGGUGGGCUUGGAAGAAUCCAUCCUUCGAAGAAAGAAUAAUAGCUCACUGCUCUAGCUCCAUGGCACCGAAAAUGUAUCAGGGCUCAAGUGAUUCACCGAAGCGACGAGACCUUGGAAGCGUUAAGCGGGCUCUAAAGACCCAAGGUUCUUUAUUGCUCACCCGAAGAAUCAGGGUGAGGAGAGCGUUUAUCUCAUCUCGACCAAAGGGAGAGGAGGGCGAGUAAGCGAGGCGCCAACCAAGUGUCAGUAGCGGGACAUUCUGUCAAUCAGGGAAGGGACAACACCUAGAGAUAUCAUAAGUGAGAAUGUUGACAUGAGUAACGAUGAAUCAUGUGAAAAACAUGAUCGCCUGCCAGUUCCAGGGUUUCUGUGUUCAGUCAAUCUACGCAGAGUGAAUCGGUCCCUAAGGAACCCCCGAAAGGGCUUUCGUCCGAUGGGUACACGAAAGUGACGAAGUUGCCC